GACAGAGGUGGCAAGCGUUGUUCGGAAUCACUGGGCUUAAAGGGCGCGUAGGUGGUAGUGCAAGUCUGGGGUGGAAUCUUAGGGCUUAACCCUAAAAUUGCCUUGGAAACUGUAUUACUUGAGUCAGUGAGGGGAGGGUAGAAUUCCCGGUGUAGCGGUGAAAUGCGUAGAUAUCGGGAGGAAGGCCUGUGGCGAAGGCGGCCCUCUGGCGCUGAACUGACACUGAGGCGCGAAAGCGUGGGUAGCAAACAGG
rnacentral:rRNA from 1 species